AGCAGCCGCGGUAAUUCCAGCUCCAAUAGCGUAUAUUAAAGUUGUUGCAGUUAAAAAGCUCGUAGUUGAAUUUCGGGAUCAAUUUAUCGGUCGUGCCAAUGGUAUGAACUGGUACAAUUGGUUUCUCCCUUCUGACGAAGCAUGAUGCCAUUAAUUUGGUGUCGUGGGGAAUCAGGACUGUUACUUUGAAAAAUUAGAGUGUUUAAAGCAAGCAUUAGCUUGAAUACAUUAGCAUGGAAUAAUGAAAUAGGACGUUUGAUCCUAUUUCGUUGGUUUCUAGGAUCGACGUAAUGAUUAAUAGGGAUAGUUGGGGGCAUUAGUAUUCAAUUGUCAGAGGUGAAAUUCUUGGAUUUAUUGAAGACUAACUACUGCGAAAGCAUUUGCCAAGGAUGUUUUCAUUAAUCAAGAACGAAAGUUAGGGGAUCGAAGACGAUCAGAUACCGUCGUAGU
rnacentral:rRNA from 1 species